rnacentral:rRNA from 1 species
AGUGAACGCUGGCGGUAGGCCUAACACAUGCAAGUCGAACGGCAGCACAGGAGAGCUUGCUCUCUGGGUGGCGAGUGGCGGACGGGUGAGGAAUACAUCGGAAUCUACCUUUUCGUGGGGGAUAACGUAGGGAAACUUACGCUAAUACCGCAUACGACCUACGGGUGAAAGUGGGGGACCGCAAGGCCUCACGCGAUUAGAUGAGCCGAGGUCCGAUUAGCUAGUUGGCGGGGUAAUGGCCCACCAAGGCGACGAUCGGUAGCUGGUCUGAGAGGAUGAUCAGCCACACUGGAACUGAGACACGGUCCAGACUCCUACGGGAGGCAGCAGUGGGGAAUAUUGGACAAUGGGCGCAAGCCUGAUCCAGCCAUACCGCGUGGGUGAAGAAGGCCUUCGGGUUGUAAAGCCCUUUUGUUGGGAAAGAAAUCCUGUCGAUUAAUACUCGGUGGGGAUGACGGUACCCAAAGAAUAAGCACCGGCUAACUUCGUGCCAGCCGCCGCUGUAAGAC